AUUGAACGCUGGCGGCAGGCCUAACACAUGCAAGUCGAACGAGUGGCGGACGGGUGAGUAAUGUCUGGGAAACUGCCUGAUGGAGGGGGAUAACUACUGGAAACGGUAGCUCAUACCGCAUACCAUCGGAUGUGCCCAGAUGGGAUUAGCUAGUAGGUGGGGUAAAGGCUCACCUAGGCGACGAUCCCUAGCUGGUCUGAGAGGAUGACCAGCCACACUGGAACUGAGACACGGUCCAGACUCCUACGGGAGGCAGCAGUGGGGAAUAUGGCAAAAUGGGGGCAAGCCUGAUGAAGCCAUGCCGCAUGUAUGAAGAAGGCCUUCGGGUUGUAAAGUACUUUGAGCGGGGAGGCGUUACCCGCAGAAGAAGCACCGGCUAACUCGGUGCCAGCAGCCGCGGUAAUUC
rnacentral:rRNA from 1 species